UAAUGAGUUGGAUUAUAAAAGGGAAGGGAAUGUACGAGUAUAAUCAAGGAAGUGAAUAACAAUGCGGUUUUGUAUCCCAUUGUGUUGCAAAAAGAAAUCUAAGCCUGAUGAUGAUGAACAUCAAUCACUUGAGCAAAUAUCUUCGCAUUCCAAAUCCGAUAGAGGCAAUGUGAGCAAGGGUGGCGAAUAUCAUGUUGAAUCCAGCCACGGCACCGCCACCAAUGACGCUGGCAAUGGCAUGGCAGCUUUGGUGGUGACCGGAGCAGCACACGCAUCUGCGGAGGAUGGUAGUGCAUGUGGCAGUUCUCAUGGUGGCGCUGCCGCUGCCGGUGGUGAUGGUGGUGGUUGAUAUGUAGUUGAUCGUUAAUUAUUGUACUUCUCUCUUCUUCUUUCUUCUUUUUGGUCUGUGUGUCAGUGUGAGUGUGUUCUUGUUGAGUGUUUUGAAUUUUCAUUUUCAAUUUAUGUAAUUUUUUUUUAAUUAUUUUAUUUUUGAUGGGUUUUCUAUCCUCUUAUUUUUUGGGUAAGCUAUAAUUAUCUCUAGGAAUUUGUGUGGAUUUUUUAAGACGAGACGAGAGAUGAUCAAAGAGAGGAGACGAGUAUCAUGUGUUCUCAUAAGAGCUGCAUGCUCUUAUAUUUCUUUUAUAAGUAUUAAGUAUAGAUCAUGGAAUCAAAAUAUUAAAGCAAUGUAUCCAUCCAACAUUAAUUCAUACAUGUCUGUUGCUAAUGUUUUUUUCGAGCAUAUUUAUACACAAGCAUCAUGUUAAUCGGAC
rnacentral:lncRNA from 1 species